rnacentral:rRNA from 1 species
AACGAACGCUGGCGGCAGGCCUAACACAUGCAAGUCGAACGCCCUAGCAAUAGGGAGUGGCGCACGGGUGCGUAACGCGUGGGAAUAUGCCCUUCACUGCGGAAUAACGUUUGGAAACGAACGCUAAUACCGCAUAAUGACUCCGGUCCAAAGAUUUAUCGGUGAAGGAUUUAGCCCCGCGUUAGAUUAGCUAGUUGGUGAGGUAAUGGCUCACCAAGGCGACGAUCUAUAGCUGGUCUGAGAGGAUGAUCAGCCACACUGGGACUGAGACACGGCCCAGACUCCUACGGGAGGCAGCAGUGAGGAAUAUUGGACAAUGGGCGCAAGCCUGAUCCAGCCAUGCCGC